CAGUCGCCGCGGUAACACCGAGGGUGCGAGCGUUAAUCGGAUUUACUGGGCGUAAAGCGUGCGUAGGCGGCUUCUUAAGUCGGAUGUGAAAUCCCUGAGCUUAACUUAGGAAUUGCAUUCGAUACUGGGAAGCUAGAGUAUGGGAGAGGAUGGUAGAAUUCCAGGUGUAGCGGUGAAAUGCGUAGAGAUCUGGAGGAAUACCGAUGGCGAAGGCAGCCAUCUGGCCUAAUACUGACGCUGAGGUACGAAAGCAUGGGGAGCAAACAGGAUUAGAGACCCCCGUAGUCCCUGUCUCUUAUAC
rnacentral:rRNA from 1 species